rnacentral:lncRNA from 1 species
CCAGAUCAAUAAAUGUCCACAGGACAAAAGCAGUGCCAACUGUGGGGCUCACCUUCCUGGAUUCCUGUCUUCUUCCUAGAUCUUGGUCCGAUGAAUUAUGUAUCUGAAAUGGCUGGCAACCUCAGCUGCAGGACACUUUGAGGAGACGGCUGAUUGCAGAUCUAGGGCAGAGAAUGAAUAAGUGAAACAACCUAGUGAGAUCCAGUACAGCUUCCAACUUAUAUUAGACCAACUUUCCUCCCUAUGACAUUAAUAGCUGGGGUAUGGAGCUGUCAGAGUGACACGUAAACUCCAAUCAGAUCACCAAGUGGCCUCAGAAAUGCACACAUACAAGAGUCCCUCUGUCAGUUCUGAGACACCUGAAGCUAGGAGUGGAGUGAAACCAGCACCCCUGAGGACACCACCACUAUGACUGUGCUCAGCCAGACUUGAAGCCAGCACAACACUGGGUCUUCCCUGCUGUAACCACUCCCUGGCCACUGCCUAUGUUUGCUCAAGGCCUUGGGGCUCUACAAUAAACAGGUGGAAAAGCCAUCCAGGUCUGUGCCCUUCCCUUCAGGGUGGCAAGUUCCCCCAAGCCCCAGGUGGGUCCAGAGAUGUUGUCUAGGAGUCAGGGACUAGAGUAAAAAACCUUUGAAGUCUACCUGGCAUUCUAUUG